UUUGUAAUAACAGCACUAGACCACUCCAUGUUACCCCAAAUCUCGACUAUAUAACCCCACAGUUUAAAGAGAUCUCUGCACACCAAAUCUCAAGACCACAUAACCCCACAGUUUCGUCCCACAAGAGCACAAUAUUGGAACCAGAGAAAAUAAGUCUAGCCCGGGGAAGUAAAUCUAUCAGCCGACUCUGAGUCCUUCCCUGGGAAUAAGAAAAAUCGAUCGUAUUCUGUUCUCACAAAGCUACACUACACACAUCAAAGUUGACAAGUCUAGAACUAGAUAGCUUACCCCUCAGAGUCUCAUUAGAAAACAUCCUCUCAGGUUCACCUUCUUCUUUACACCAAUCCCAGUCCUUUGACUCAUACCAAUAGAUUCUUCCCCUUUGAACUAACACAAUAGAUCAAAUCAUCAACCAUACACCAAUCUCUUCUGAUUCCUUUCUAAUGACCACUCUUCCCCAUUUAGUGAUCAAAUCAUCAACCACUAGCGACCCAUCAAAGAUCGUAUCUUGUUGAGAUCAGGUGAAGCCAUUAGAGUACGAUUACUCUUGGAGGUGAGAGAUAAGGCUGCUUGGUCUAAUCUCAAGAGUAUAAAGCUAUGAACUUUAGAGCUAUAUCAUCUGGUAACGAUGAUAAAGGAAACGUUGACGGAGAUGCUUCCAUCUUCCUCUUCUUGUGCGGUGGCGACUCCUCGGAAUUUAGCAUCUACUGACUCAAAAGUUUGGAUUUUUAUGUGUUUGAGAGAGCGACAAAGAGAGAAGUCGAUCAUAUCUAUAAUUACAAUAAACCAAAAGGUAGCCGUGAUGAUACCAAGCUCGUUUACACCUUCGUUGAACCAAUCUAGUUUGUCUCAGGGUUGUCCCAAGUUUUACUUCGACAUUCACGAGUUGUUUUAGUCGUUUAGAGAGGUACUUAAGAAGAUGACCCAUGAGAAGGUAAGAUUAUGCUUUAGAGUUUCUGUUCAUGGAGAAUUCUUUGCCUUUACAUAGGACUUAAAGUUUCAGCCUUGGCUAGAACAUGUAACUUUCAUGCGGUGAUUAGUUUGUGUUUUAGGGAGUUUCUAAUGAAAUAUUGUGGUUUGGAAGAUUGUGGGAAACGAUUGUGUGUGUCUAGAGUGGCUUUAUCAGUGUUGGAUUUGCCAAAAGUGGGAUACUUGGUUGAUAUAAUUGAAGAUUGUACAGUUUUGGUGAAUUAUGAUGUUGUUUUCGGGUUGAAUAGUAUUGUCUUAGAGACUGAAGCUUGUGCAAGUUCUCUUUACUGUUGUUAUAAAGCAGUGCCAAGAGCUCUUUGUCAUACUCGUAGUACUUGUUGUUUCAGCGGUUCCCGACUAAGUUUAAGGAUAUAGCUGAGGAUGAUGCGAGUUUAGUGGAGUUGCUUUUGUUGGUCAAGUAGGAAUUGUUAUGUGGAUCCUGGUGUGAGUUUGUGUGCUUCUUUACAGGUCUGUCUCAAAGGAAAAGAGCUUGAAUGGUGUGAGUUUGUGUGCUCCUUUACAAGUCUGUCUCGAAAAAGAAGAGUUUUAGAUGGUGUGAGUUUGUGUGCUACUUCACAGGUCUGUCUUGAAGAAGAAAAAGCUUGGAUUGUUUAUAACUAUAGCUCAACGUAUGCUUUGCUGGAGUAGUAAUGGUGUCAUUAGAUUUACUCGUAUCGUUCGAAAAUUUCCGUUUCUCAGGGACAUUUGAUCUGAGAUUUGAAGUUUUCAUCUUUGAGUAAGACUUCUUGAUUUUUGAAUUUGUUACUGCAGUUUCUAGGGAUGUUCUUGUUUACUCAUUUGCUUAGUUGAGUAACUAUGAUUGUGAUCACAAAACUAGAUUUUGCCCAAACUUUGUGAUUCAUCCGAGAGCCCAUUGAUAGUUACUUAAAUUUCUACGCACUAACUGUGAUGCAGAAGGAAUCUAUUGAAGGCAUUUAUGUUGGUUUGUUGAAUAUUUUGUUUCAUUUUGAGUGCAGGCUGACUUCUUUAUAUGAGAGACCACAAGACCUGCUAAAACAUGAGGUACACUCAUGUGUUGCCUACUGACUUUGUGUAAAGCAUCAAACAGAUUUGUUAUUCCACAAAAUCGAAUCUGAAAACGAGUGAGGUUGCAAGGUUGAGCUGUGUUAUUGAUUGUGUCUUCUUCUUUGUGUUAAGAGUGAUUAUGUCUUCCACAGUUCAGUUGCUUUCUUUUGCCAUGGUAAACUAAGAGAAUGUUGUGUAGGCGGUGUUGUGCACUACAAGGAUGUAAUUUUUAGUCCUGGGUGAAAAAACCAAA